GACGAACGCUGGCGGCGUGCUUAACACAUGCAAGUCGAACGGAAAGGCCCUGCUUGCAGGGUACUCGAGUGGCGAACGGGUGAGUAACACGUGGGUGAUCUGCCCUGCACUUCGGGAUAAGCCUGGGAAACUGGGUCUAAUACCGGAUAGGAGCCAUUUUUAGUGUGAUGGUUGGAAAGUUUUUUCGGUGUAGGAUGAGCUCGCGGCCUAUCAGCUUGUUGGUGGGGUAAUGGCCUACCAAGGCGGCGACGGGUAGCCGGCCUGAGAGGGUGGACGGCCACAUUGGGACUGAGAUACGGCCCAGACUCCUACGGGAGGCAGCAGUGGGGAAUAUUGCACAAUGGGCGCAAGCCUGAUGCAGCGACGCCGCGUGGGGGAUGACGACCUUCGGGUUGUAAACUCCUUUCGCUAGGGACGAAGCUUUUUGUGACGGUACCUAGAGAAGAAGCACCGGCUAACUACGUG
rnacentral:rRNA from 1 species